rnacentral:rRNA from 1 species
UACGAAGGGUGCAAGCGUUACUCGGAAUUACUGGGCGUAAAGCGUGCGUAGGUGGUUUUUUAAGUCCGUUGUGAAAGCCCUGGGCUCAACCUGGGAAUGGCAGUGGAUACUGGAAAGCUAGAGUGCGGUAGAGGGUAGUGGAAUUCCCGGUGUAGCAGUGAAAUUCGUAGAUAUUGGGAAGAACACCGGUGGCGAAGGCGGCUCUCUGGACCACAACUGACGCUGAGGCGCGAAAGCGUGGGGAGCAAACAGG